GCCAGCAGCCACAUCACUCUGCAACUCACAACUGGCAACCCACUGAAGCUCAGCAGGUGUGAGCCUGGUCAGUACCUGGAUAGGAGACCUCCUGGGAAAAACUAAGGUUGCUGCUGGAA
rnacentral:rRNA from 1 species